CAAACUCCCAAUCAUGAUUAUGGACAAACUCCCACUUUUUAUGCAUAGUUAAAACUCCCAUCCAAACAAAACGAACCCACCAAAAAAAAAAGAAUGGUGAAACACUCCAAAACCCUAAACAGAACAUUUUCGAUUCCAAUGGAGGAGACACAGCGAUGCCGCAUCUCCAACUCAUUCCGCCACCGCCGACUUACCCGCAUCUGAGCCUACAUCAACGCGCCACCGUGCCAGAGCUCUGAAGCCCAAGGCCAGCUCCCUCUCAUUAUGGCGCGUCAUAUCCGCGCGGCGUCGCUACUGCGUCGUCUUUUCCAGCAGGUUUUGCCACUUUUUCUGCUUUUGCUCCGGCGGAUGUGAAGCACUCGGAGCAUGGUUUGGGCGUAGACUCAGUGCCGAUGGCUGAGGAGAUCUGAGAGAAGAGCGAAACCGAGAGAUUCAGAGAGGAGAGACAGCUCGCAUUGCCAUCGCCACUGCCGUCGCCAUUGCGGUUUAUCGCCUCUCCAGAUCUGGUUGCAACGCCCAAGCCUCUGAGGAUGUUCCGUUACGACCUCUUCGACGAGACGCAGAACAAGCUCGAUUACAUCCUCUCUCUCACUGUCGAGAACUUGCUCGGGCGCCGCCUCCAUACUCUCGUCUUCAAGUCUGGUAUAGCCAAGUCCAUUCACCAGCGCUACAUUAGAAUCUAACUUCCUAAACAUUCAAAUAGCUCAAAAUUAAAGCCACAGAGGAGGUUGAUUAAGCUGGAGGCUUUGGAGAAAGUCAUCCAUGAAAGAAUAGAUGCUCCCAGAGCACCUAGGCAGUGGUGGUUUGGCAAGGGGACUGACUUGACUCCUUCUUACAUUUUCGAGGAUGAUGUUAAACACUUCCAUUCGGUUAAACUUAAAGAACUUGAAGCUGGUCUGCUUGAGAAUAAGGCAAAUAAUUAGAAGUUGCAACACACCUACAACGAGCUGGUAGAAUAUAAGCUUGUUUUGGAGAAGGUAAGGUUUGCUAAGUACAACAAUAAUAGCUACAAAUUGCCAUCACCAAAUUCGAUAGGUUCUUCUAUUUUUGAAUUAUAUGCAGAUUGUAAGUAUAGAUGGAAACAUUAUGCUUAGGCUCAACAGAGCAAUGGGUUGCUUCUUCGCGUGUUUCAGGAACAACGAUAACCAUUGUUGCCGCAUCACCUGACCGCCAACUCUUCUAG